UACGAGGGGGGCAAAUGUUGUUCGGAAUCACUGGGCGUAAAGGGAGCGUAGGCGGGCUUCUAAGUUAGAUGUUUAAUCCCGGGGCCCAACCCCGGACAGGCACCUAAAACUGGAAGUCUUGAAUAGUGGAGAGGACGGCGGAAUUGGGGGUGUAGCGGUGGAAUGCGUAGAGAUCCCCAAGAACACCAGUGGCGAAGGCGGCUCACUGGCCCGAUACUGACGCUGAGGCACGAAAGCGUGGGGAGCAAACAGG
rnacentral:rRNA from 1 species